GACGAACGCUGGCGGCGUGCUUAACACAUGCAAGUCGAACGGAAAGGCCCUGCUCUUGCGGGGUGCUCGAGUGGCGAACGGGUGAGUAACACGUGAGUAACCCGUCCCUGACUUUGGGAUAACUCCAGGAAACUGGGGCUAAUACCGGAUAGGAGCUACUGCUGCACGGGGGGGGUUGGAAAGUUUCGGCGGUUGGGGAUGGUCUCGCGGCUUAUCGGCUUGUUGGGGGGGUAGUGGCUUACCAAGGCUUUGACGGGUAGCCGGCCUGGGAGGGUGGCCGGCCACAUUGGGACUGCGGUACGGCCCAGAAUCGUACGGGCGGCAGCGGUGGGGAAUAUUGCACAGUGGGCGGGAGCCUGUUGCGGCGGCGCCGCGUGCGGAAUGACGGCCUUCGGGUUGUAAACCGCUUUCGCCUGUGACGAAGCGUUAGUGACGGUAAUGGAUAAAGAAGCACCGGCUAACUACGUG
rnacentral:rRNA from 1 species